rnacentral:rRNA from 1 species
GACGAACGCUGGCGGCGUGCUUAACACAUGCAAGUCGAGCGGUAAGGCCCUUUCGGGGGUACGACGAGCGGCGAACGGGUGAGUAACACGUGGGUGACCUGCCUUUAGCUCUGGGAUAAGCCUGGGAAACUGGGUCUAAUACCGGAUAUGACCCUAUGGCGCAUGUUGUGGGGUGGAAAGCCUUGUGCGGCUAGGGAUGGGCCCGCGGCCUAUCAGCUUGUUGGUGGGGUGAUGGCCACCAAGGCGACGACGGGUAGCCGGCCUGAGAGGGCGACCGGCCACACUGGGACUGAGACACGGCCCAGACUCCUACGGGAGGGCAGCAGUGGGGAAUCUUGCGCAAUGGGCGAAAGCCUGACGCAGCGACGCCGCGUGAGGGAUGACGGCCUCGG